GUGGGGAAUAUUGGGCAAUGGGGGCAACCCUGACCCAGCGACGCCGCGUGAGGGAAGAAGGCCUUAGGGUCGUAAACCUCUGUUGUGUGGGAAGAAGGAAGUGACGGUACCACACGAGGAAGUCCCGGCUAACUACGUGCCAGCAGCCGCGGUAAUACGUAGGGGACGAGCGUUGUCCGGAAUUACUGGGCGUAAAGGGCGCGUAGGCGGUCAUUUAAGUCAGCUGUGCAAUGGUCCGGCUCAACCGGAUCAUGCGGUUGAAACUGGAUGACUGGAGUGCUAGAGAGGCAAGUGUAAUUCCCAGUGUAGCGGUGAAAUGCGUAGAUAUUGGGAAGAACACCGGUGGCGAAGGCGACUUGCUGGCCAGCAACUGACGCUGAGGCGCGAAAGCCAGGGGAGCAAACGGGAUUAGAUACCCGUGUAGUCC
rnacentral:rRNA from 1 species